rnacentral:lncRNA from 1 species
CUGAGAUUCCGGGCCCGGCGGCCGCGGGGAGCGGGUGUCCGUGAGGAGCCGGGCAGCCGGCCUCCUCUCUUUGCCUUUUGGGGGUUCUUUUUGUAAUAGCAGCAGGUGCAACUUUUUGUAUUUUAAAAAUAGUGAUUUUUAUUUUCGUGUGGCAUGGAUUCACCAGCCUGAUUUGCUGCUUCUUCCUGCAUCCAGCCUGCUCCUGGGUCUCCUUCCCCACCUCACAGCCAUGGCAACCAAAUGCACGGGCUUGUGAAGACCAGCAGCCCAACUUCAGCAAGGUCUCGCUGGCCUGGACAGAAGAGCCAAGAUGAAUUACCAUGUGCAUGGAGAGAAGCCAUGGCCCAAGGAUGGGAAUUGCAGAUCUGGAGGCUGAAGCCCCACAUUGGCAUCCUGGCUCUACUCCCACUGGUUCUGUCACCCUGGGCAAGGCACUUCUCCCAAGCUGCAGUUCUGCCAACUGAGAAGCAGAGACAAUGACACUUGUUCCGCUCACCUUGCAGGGUUGUUGUGAGAAGGAAAUAAAGUAUUUGGAAG